GAUGAACGCUGGCGGCGUGCUUAACACAUGCAAGUCGAACGGAAAGGCCCAAGCUUGCUUGGGUACUCGAGUGGCGAACGGGUGAGUAACACGUGGGUGAUCUGCCCUGCACUUCGGGAUAAGCCUGGGAAACUGGGUCUAAUACCGGAUAGGACGAUGGUUUGGAUGCCAUUGUGGAAAGUUUUUUCGGUGUGGGAUGAGCUCGCGGCCUAUCCGCUUGUUGGUGGGGUAAUGGCCUACCAAGGCGUCGACGGGUAGCCGGCCUGAGAGGGUGUACGGCCACAUUGGGACUGAGAUACGGCCCAGACUCCGACGGGAGGCAGCAGUGGGGAAUAUUGCACAAGGGGCGCAAGCCUGAUGCAGCGACGCCGCGUGGGGGAUGACGGCCUUCGGGUUGUAAACUCCUUUCGCUAGGGACGAAGCGUUUUGUGACGGUACCUGGAGAAGAAGCACCGGCUAACUACGUG
rnacentral:rRNA from 1 species